UACUUUGCACCUUCCUAUCCCUCUUAGUCCAAAAGCACAGUCAUAUGUCUACACCACAACAUGUGUUAAAACAUAACUUCCUGUACCUAAUGUAUUUUUAAUGGUGUUAAUCUGGACUUUUCUCUUUCUGAAUGAUAUUUAUUAAAAGUUAUGUUUUAACACAUGUUGUGGGGUAGACAUAUGACUGUGUUUUUGGACUAAGAGGUAUGGGAAAGUGCAAAGUA
rnacentral:pre_miRNA from 1 species